GACGAACGCUGGCGGCGUGCCUAAUACAUGCAAGUCGAACGCAGUGGGGACGGGUGAGUAACACGUGGGUAACCUCCCAUCAGAGGGGAUAACACUUGGAAACAGGUGCUAAACCGAUACGGAUGGAGGGACCCGCGGUGCAUUAGCUAGUUGGUGGGGUAAAGGCUCACCAAGGCCACGAUGCAUAGCUGAUCUGAGAGGGUGACCGGCGACACUGGGACUGAGACACGGCCCAGACUCCUACGGGAGGCAGCAGUAGGGAAUCUUGCGCAAUGGACGCAAGUCUGACCGAGCAACGCCGCGUGAGUGAAGAAGGUUUUCGGGUCGUAAAGCUCUUUUGUUAGCGAGGCGUUAUCUAACGAGAAAGCAACGGCUAACUACGUGCCAGCAGCCGCGGUAAUUC
rnacentral:rRNA from 1 species